UACGUAGGGUGCAAGCGUUGUCCGGAAUUAUUGGGCGUAAAGAGCUCGUAGGUGGUCUGUCGCGUCGGCUGUGAAAACCCCGGGGGCUCAACCCCGGGCCUGCAGUCGAUACGGGCAGACUAGAGUGCGGUAGGGGAGACUGGAAUUCCUGGUGUAGCGGUGGAAUGCGCAGAUAUCAGGAGGAACACCGGUGGCGAAGGCGGGUCUCUGGGCAGUAACUGACGCUGAGGGGCGAAAGCGUGGGGAGCGAACAGG
rnacentral:rRNA from 1 species